GAUGAAGAACGUAGCGAAAUGCCAUACGUAAUGUGAAUUGCAGAAUUCAGUGAAUCAUCGAAUCUUUGAACGCACAUUGCACUCCUUGGUAUUCCGAGGAGUAUGCCUGUUUCAGUAUCAUGAGCACUCUCACAUCUAACCUUUGGGUUAAAAUGUGGAAUUGGGAUGCGCCGGUUAUUAUAACGGCCCUCCUAAAACUCAGUUCUUGGCUGCUUCCUACUACAGCAGUUUGGCCUAAUAGUUUUGAGUCUUCGAUUCAAAUCUUUGGCUAACAUUUGCUUCAGGAUGUCAGUCUUGAUAUACAGAAAUCUCAUUCAAACUUUGAUCUGAAAUCAGGUAGGGCUACCCGCUGAACUUAAGCAUAUCAAUAAGCGGAGGA
rnacentral:misc_RNA from 1 species